CCACUGCUGAUGAGUCCAAAACAGUACGAAACAGCUGUCCAGUGC
rfam:Echinostoma caproni strain Egypt genome assembly, scaffold: ECPE_scaffold0000010